UUAGCUUUAUUAGUUUAUUAAAAUGUUGAUUUGUGAUUUCAAAGGAUAUUAUGAAUAUAUUAGGCU
rnacentral:tRNA from 1 species